GCACGGGUUGGGGUUUAUGGCAGGCUCAUCCCCAUGGGCCUCUCACAGUGUCCCAGGCCAGAGCAAACUAUAGCCUUGAACCAUUGCCUGGCCUUGGCCAUUGGCUUCAGGCACUGAAGUGGGGUGCACAGUG
ensembl:snoRNA